CCCAGUUCGGAUCGCAGGCUGCAACCCGCCUGCGUGAAGUUGGAAUCGCUAGUAAUCGCGGAUCAGCAUGCCGCGGUGAAUACGUUCCCGGGCCUUGUACACACCGCCCGUCACACCAUGAGAGUCGGGGACACCCGAAGUCCGUAGCCUAACUGCAAGGGGGGCGCGGCCGAAGGUGGAUUCGAUAAUUGGGGUGAAGUCGUAACAAGGUACC
rnacentral:rRNA from 1 species